rnacentral:rRNA from 1 species
GUCCUGGCCCUAAACGAUGGGUACUAGGUAGUAGACCGGACAUGGGUUUACUGCCGGAGCUAAAGUGCUAAGUACCCCGCCUGGGGAGUAUGGUCGCAAGGCUGAAACUCAAAGGAAUUGACGGGGGCUCACACAAGCGGUGGAGCAUGUGGCUUAAUUCGAGGCUACGCGAAGAACCUUAUCCUGGACUUGACAUGUGCGAAAGCGCCAGCAGGUAGGACCCGGAAACGGGACGAACGGUAUCCAAUCCGGAAGCUGGUACAGGUGCUGCAUGGCUGUCGU